rnacentral:lncRNA from 1 species
GGGACAAGAGAGUCAGCAGAAGAGCAGAAGCAUAAAAGGAAGAUAAGAGGAGCAUAAGAGAGUGAGCAACCCCACUUCACUGGUUUUAUCUUCUCACACUGGGAGUGUCUGAGGAGAAAGAGGAGGGGUCAUCGGGUCUCUGAUUAUUUGAUCUAACUUAUUCUUUUGGCUGGUAAAAGAGUCAGAUCUGAUACUCACUCACUAUGAUUAAUAUCAUUGAAUGCUUGGUUUCAUGAUAAAUAAUUUGAUACUAAACACAUAUGAAUGAAGUGUAGGAUCACAUCAAACAUUCUCAUUAUGUUUUAAGUAUCACAUUGAACAUGCUAAAUUACUCUGAAAUGAAACAGAUAGUAACACAUAGAAACUGUGAACAACAAAAGAGUAAACACAUGUGAAUGAACGUCAUCAUGAUUAAUAAUGGAUUCUAAAUACUCACAUUCAGAUUAUUCAGUGACAUUAUAACCACCUAAUGGUUAAGAUACUAAAUAAAUAACUAAAAUAUAAACCAAACAUUUCUAAACUAUUUCUGUUACUUAGAGUAAACUUAGGAUUCAUAGUCAAUAAAUUUAACUCUUAAAAGUUCAUGAAACAGUCUGAAAAGCUGUUGGUCUAAAGAACUAAAGAAUAAGGAUUUAUUCUGUCAGAUAAGAUAACUUGGCUUCUGAAGCACAUAGAAAAACGGGAAACAUCUCAUUUUAACACAAAUUUCAUGAUUAGACAGAUUAGUACAUUGCUGAAUGCGUAAGAUGUCAUAAUCAGUCAUUUGUAUUCUUUCACCAAAGGAAUGCAGUCUUUAUCAGUGUAUGGUCGAGCAGGGUUUUACGACCGAGGUCUGGAGGUCAGUGUCCCCCCUUAUCCUGGGGUCCGUAUGUUCACACACUUUAAGACGCUAAAUCUCAAAUGGGAGAUCUGGGUUGAGACGUUAAUGUUUAUUUAGAUGGUCAGUAAUGGAGUCAGUUUGAAAGGUAAUAAAAACUCUGUCUCUGUUCGCCGAACUGACCAAUCCUGAAGAGUCAGAGGUUUAGUCAACCUCCGGUUGGGUCACUUAUUUAACCUGAAAGUGCAAACACGUCUGGAAAGAUUUAUAUCCUGUUUCCUGGGACCAGAUAAGGAAACUUUCCUGUAAGGAAUGUGUGGGUUUCACAUCCAGGGUUGUCUUGAUUGCUACAGUCCCCCCUUCGUCACGGUGGUCCUGUCCAUGGAGCAUCGGGACGACGAGUAGACAACCAUGAAGCAGCAGCAGGUGUAUGCAAAUAGGACUGAUGCGUCUCGUCAUCACUAUGUGAAUCACUAGUACUGCUUUGAGAUAAAAUUAAGCAUGCAUUAAGCUAUCAAAUAAAAUCGUCUAGGUGUUAGACUUUUCUCAGUUAACUAUUGGUAGACUAAUGUGAAAGAAAAUCUCCUAAUUUUCAGUAUUAAUGAGAUUUAGAAAAGCACUCUUUAGUCUGAAUGCUAACUGGAUCUAAAGCUAUAGCUGUUUUUCAUGCUUGCUGGAGAAGUCUGAAAGUUCAAUUUCAGUUUCAAAAAUGGUUAAGACUUAGGUGGAAAAGAAAUGUCUGCUAUAGACAUGUUUAAUCAUCUGUGUAUGAGCAUAGUCAACCUGAAUCACAAACAUCAAAAGUUUACUGCACAGAGUUUCUCUUAAACUUUAUCUGUUAAACUUGGGGAUGAUGCUCUUACCGGUUUGACUAAUUAUCUGCUGUUGAGUCUGAAAUUUGUCAAUCUGAGUCUUAAUGACAGAAAUUUCAGCUUUUAAUCUAUUGAUGAGAUAUUUGACAGCUGACAAGCUGACCAUAUUGACAGAGGAGAGACAAAUGCUAACAAAGAAAGCAGCAACUGGGGUUGCAGUCAUCAAUGUAUCACCACAGCAUUUGGAUAUCUUAUUGGAGUCAUUUAGCUUUGGCUGGGUGACUUCUGCUUUCGCAGGACUCACACCUUCAUGACUCCGCAGUGUUAAUCUCAGUGGUUAGCUGAGUAGUCAUGUUUAUUCACCUUCAAAGUGGAUGAAACCGAUUGAGGUGGAUAAUAAGAUCGUCGUUUCUGAGAGUGUGAUUUACUCUGAUUCUGCCAGUCAUUCACCCCCCUUUGGCGGUGUCGAUGGUUUUUCCUUUGUCUGGGACAAAACCCACCGUGACGGGAGUCUGAAUAACAACAGUUGGUCUCAAAGUUUACCGGGCAUUGGUCUGUGUCAGACCUGGGCCUUGGUGUGUAACUUUGACCUUUGUGAGUUUGUUGAGGUCGAAAAGGUUUUGGAGGCCAGGUUAACCACUCAUUUGGAGGCUUAUCGGAGCCUGAAAAAACACAGUCUGAAGCUUCGUUCAGCUCCAUGGGCAGUGAUUUUGUCUCCAUAGCCAAGAGAGUAACGGGCUCUGCUUUCUUAGCCAAAGUUUGUCGUUGUUUGGCAAAACCUUUUACAGCAAGUUCACGAAGCUGUCGGCUAGUCAAAGUGUUUGGACAAGCUAAGACGCCAAGGUGAUGACUGGUGGUAGGGUGGAGGUUCUGGACGAACAGUGUUUUGAAGUUCAAGUCCUCCUCCAUUUCUGGUUCAUUUCGGAAACCAAAGUAAGCUUCACGUAAGCGGUUGUAAUAAUGUUGGGGAGAUUCUAAUCUCCCUUGUUUAAUAGACAGAGCAGCAGAGAGGCCUGUCUGGGUCAAAUAGUCAGAAAACUCUUCAAUUAAUGCUUGGCAGAGCAAGUCAUAAUUAUUUCUGACAUGAUAAGGCUGUCGUUCAAGGAAACUGCUAACCUCUCGACUUGACGUCGCCUUAAUAAGGUAGAUUUUGUCAUCAACGGUUGCACCUGGAAAUUUCCUCAGGUAAAAGUCAAUGUCUUUCAAGUAGGUGCAGGUGUCAGUAGCACCUUGGUGCUCAGGUUCAAAGCGUGCUAUGAUGCGAGCAAUUUUGUCAAGAUCCCUGUCUGAGGGAAAUGGUAAGAAGCCAUCAUGAGGAGGAGAGUAGGACUCUUGGUUUAAGGAUGACCUCUCAGGGUCAAGCAGGGUCCUGUCAUGAUGCUGAGAGAGAUACUUAAGAGUUGGUUUGGAAGGAAGUGAUGGCGCUCUCUCAGGAGGCUGAUCACCUAUCAUUUCUUCAAGAAACGUUUGCUCCAUGCGUUCUCUUUGGGCUCGACCUGACUGGAGGGAGCAUUGUAACUCUCUUUGGGCAUCUUCAAGUUCUUUGUCUGUCUUUUCUCGCUGUUCUUGACAAAGAAUUAACUGUCUUUGAGCUAUCUGGAGCUGGUGCUGUAAGGUAGAAGUUUGCUUCUCCUUAACUUCAAGAGCUUCAGCACGCACUUUGACCAGUGCUUUCAAAGCUUCUACAUCUUCUGUUGCUUGCUCUAGUAGGGAUUCGGACUGUAUCAGAUCCUCUAUGGUCUUAGCAAGCUGCUUAUUCGUGUCAUCAAGUUCUUUCUCCUUUUUGUAAAGGGUUUCAUUAAGUCUUUCAAUCUUGUCUUUGAGAUCAAGAUUUUCUUCAUGACUUAUUAGUGAGGGAAGCUUUGACGCUUCACAUCUGGCACUGUGUUUUUCUAAAACACUUAGAGACUUCAUAGUCUCUUCUAGCGUCUUUUUCAGAGCGCUAUUUUCGUCUUUUUGCGCCUUUAUCUUUGCUAAAGCGCAUUCCAGCAAGUAGUCUUUAUACUCAAGCUGAGAAGACAUCACGACAGACAUGCAUCUAGUGAGCUCUUUGUCACGAAGUGUCGUGGUUAAGGCUGUUUCCAGUAGGUCAGCCAUUGCAUCCUCCGGAUUGGAGGGUUCGGCCUUUUGAAUCUUAGUCAUGUACUGAGGUAUCAGCUGACUAGUCAAGUUUGCCAACACUGUGUGUAUGUCCCUCAGGGGGUCUCCCUGGCUGGACUCUUUUGUGUUAGGCAUGUUUGGUUUUGGUAAAGAGGAGCAGGUGGUUGGAUGAUGAGUUUGAGUUGGCUUAAAAUGAAAAGAAGAAGCAAAAUAUCAAAUUAAGUGAGUUAAUCGACUUAAUUUAUCAGUGCUUGAUAAAGAGGAAGAGCCUAUCUGAGUAGAUCUCUAAUGGAGAGAAAAAUAACAUAAAGUUAAAUUCAUUUCAAUGAAAAUUGAAAUAAAACAAGGUGAAAUAAUGUUAAAUUAAAUUUAACAUCAGAUACAGAACCAUUGAAUAAAGGGUUCAAAUUGUCUCCGUGUUGCAGAGAUCAGCAAAGCUUAAAUAAACUGCCUGAUGCAGUUGGAUGAAUCUGAAACCAAUGAAAUUGUCAAUUUAAGGAAUUAACUCUGAAGUUAAUUCACAAAUCGCAAUAAAGCCAAAGAUUCAACUACCCAAUUCAUCUGAAAUGGUAAAAUAGAUUUCAAAUAUUAAUUAAUUUGUUCAUUAAUUAAUUAAUCUUAUGAGGAGGGUUAAUACAUUCAUGUAUUAUAGGGAACAGUAAAACUGCUCAAUGGUGUGAUAAGUAACAACAGAUCAGGUGAUUGAUUCAAGGAGUUACUUUAUCAAUACAUUAUGUAGGCUCUUAUAACAAAGAUAAAAAAUCAAAAAUCAAUGAUCAAUGAUUUAGAAUAAUCACAUCAAACUUCAUCAACCAAGUCAAUCACUUGAGUUAUGUCUGUAGAGUGUUACACACUGACUACAGAGAGGCAGUACAGCUGGCUGAUACUGCAGGCAGAUAAUAGCAGUGUUAGCUCAAUACCAAAAACAACCAUGUGGGGCAGUAUGGAGUUGGGGUAACUGCACAAGCUCAACACAAGUGGAGAAGAAGAAGAGAAGAGGAAACAGUCAUCCAACUAGCCUCUUGUGGCUGUGUGGUUGGGAAGUCUGAAGGAAGGGGCCUUUAGGCUCUGCCUCCUUGAAGGGCCUUAUCUGCUUAAGGCCAAAUGGUCAGUCUCUCCACUGACAACAAAGGGUUAACAUUUCACAGCAGCUGUGUCUGCACCCUCAAACAUAGAACUUUACACCAUCUGCUCAAGCAGAUUGGUUCAAUAAAAUCAUUCACAGGAACAAGGAUCAAAGUGACAAAUUCUUAAACAGCAGAUUCAACUGCAGACUUUAAAAUCACAAAUGCGGCGAUUCGUGAUCACGGAUUUUGUCUGAAUUCAUUCAAACAACAACCUCCCACUGUUACAGUGGUUUCCUGUGACAGAUAGCUUAUCUGUCAGGGGAAAGGAGGAAAUCUAAAUCCCAUAUAGUUACUAGAACUUCAUAGCAGACUAUAGAGACAAGAAUCAAAGUGACAAAUCCCUCAACAGCAGAUUCAACUGCAAACUUAAAAAUCACAAAUGCGGCGAUUUGUGAACACAAAUUUUGUCUGAAUUCACUCAAACAACAACCUCCCACUGUUACAGUGGUUUCCUGUGACAGGUAGCUAAUCUGUCAGGGGAAAGGAGGAAAUCUGAAUCCCAUAUAGUUACUAGAACCUCGUAGCAGACUACAGAGACUUCAGGGGCUUGAAACCACAGCUCGGAGCAUCGCGAACACUGGGUUCAGCCAAAGGCCUUAAAUACAAGCGUACAGCGACGCAACAAUCGUGCACUUAAAUAUUGGACAGUCUAGACAGAGCAGAAGAAGCAGUCUCACUGCUACUCAGAACAACAUUUCACGCUGUCCAGCUCAAACACAGACUACAGGCAUGUAGUACAAAAGUGUGUGAAACACAGAGCAUAAAGGUUUUAUGCAUAGAUCAGGAAAACAUCAGAACUUAGUCAAGCAACUUCAGCAAGCAUAGCAUUUAUUGUGAUUAAGUCUAGGAUAGCCUGGAAAUAAGUUUCUCUCAUCAAUUUGGAAGGCUAAGUUUUAGGUUGUCUGUUAGUAUCCAGAAGUUUUGUUUGAAACGCCUCACACGGGGCACCAAAAUAUAUGUAGUGAUUUGAAAUGAGCCUCAUACGGUCGCACCAAAAUAUAUGUAGCGAUUUGAAAUGAGCCUCGCAAGGCCGCACCAAAAUAAUACUUGGCGAUUGGAAUUUAUAAUAAAUGUCUGAAGAUUAAUAAUCUCAAAGUAUGACAUUUAUGCACUCGUUGAAAGGGGCACCACCCACACUUAAUGGUGGGAAAAUAAAGAAAACAAAAGUUUAAUUCAGAAAUCAAACAUCAAGUCAGUUUUAAUUAAUCAGUCUUAAUUAAUCAGUCUUAAUUAAUCAGUCUCAUAUCUUAAGUCGAAAUUCUAAUUUCAGGGACUCCACUUCUGGAAGAACACUAACAGACAGGAACUUAGAAAAAUAAUGAUCUGUUUAUUACAGGAUAAAUGAUGGUACAACACACAUGCAAUAAAUGAUGAUAAGAUAAUGAAGAUAAAUAAUAAUAGGUGAAUAAAUCAAGAUUCUGAGUCAGGCUAGGAGCACUAAAGUUAAUGAUAGUGAGUGAAUAUGCGCUAACAUAUUAACCUACACUAACUUUAGUGUCGAGAUAAACUCGGAUGUGGAUUUGGAGGAAUCUAAGAUUACCAGAAUAAGAGGAUAUCUGAGUUGAAUGCAGGAGACAGCACCAGCCCUCUUUAGAGCUCUGGAGGUUUGCAUACUUAAGUGAGACUGGUCCUUGGAGAAGAUGGAGCAGGUUCCGAAGGUCCGGGCUACUGGCGGUUCGAGCGGUUCAGCUCAGAAGACGACUGAAGUCAGCCGAAGGAUGAGCCCGGAGUUGCAGCACUCAGGCCCGAAGCAAAAACCAGCGCCUGUGGAUCCUGUGGAUGCUCGUUUGGGUACUUCUUUAGUCUCACUCAAAAACUCUGGCACAGAGGAUGACCUGGGCCUGUUGGAUUGCGUUCGGAGGUGACUUUGAAAUCACGCAGAAAACUCAGAAAAACGAGGCUCGAAGAGCAGAGAAAACUUUCAAAAAUGGCUUCGCGAAAUUAAAGAAAAUCAAUCAAAGGCUUAAUCUUGAAUUACUAUGUGCACAAAAAGUUGAAGUUUCAAAACUUGAACUAAGACGAUGUUAAAGAAAAUCAACGUGAAUCAACACGUGGCGUAAAACUUAGAAGACUAAGAAAAAGUUCUAAGAGAGAACAAAGAAAAGGAGGACCACAGAAGGGUGUGGACAGAAGAGAAGGGGCAUAAGAGCCGGGGACAAGAGAGUCAGCAGAAGAGCAGAAGCAUAAAAGGAAGAUAAGAGGAGCAUAAGAGAGUGAGCAACCCCACUUCACUGGUUUUAUCUUCUCACACUGGGAGUGUCUGAGGAGAAAGAGGAGGGGUCAUCGGGUCUCUGAUUAUUUGAUCUAACUUAUUCUUUUGGCUGGUAAAAGAGUCAGAUCUGAUACUCACUCACUAUGAUUAAUAUCAUUGAAUGCUUGGUUUCAUGAUAAAUAAUUUGAUACUAAACACAUAUGAAUGAAGUGUAGG